GUUGUUUGCGAAAACCCAUUGAUGGGUAAAGAAAUACCCAUUUUGGAAUAAAACAUGUUUCUGUCACAAAAGGAGUAAAAUUGAAAAUGUAAACUGAGUAAAAAAGCACCCGCUUUUUGUAGUCCUAUUUGGCAUUUAAAUGGGUGUUUUUUUACCCGUUGAUGGGUGAAAAAAUAGUUGGAAAUAAAUUUGUAUCGGAGUGGAAGUCGCAAGGAGGAGGAAAACUUCAAUAGUGCUGCCGUGCUGCUGGUACUGUUUUAUUUAAACUAAAAACUGUUUUGAUUAUCACCACCGACGCUUAUCGCAACAGAAUGAACUCCACAAUCUUCCUACUUCGCACCAGGAAGGGAAACACUGUGAGCCUUUUUAUUGGAAUAUUUUGAUUAAAUUUAAGAAGACACACUUGGAGCCGAGCCCCAGAGAAUGAAGGAUAAUGCCCGAAAAUCCGGAGAAUUCCGGAAGAGUACGCUGAUGGAACACAUGCAAACAAAUAAAAUUCAGUGUUAAAAUAACUUAUUAUGUAAUAUUUCAGUAAAGAGUAAAUAAAGAUAUAAUUUAUUCAUUAAUAUUA